GGUGAGUAACACGUGGGUGAUCUGCCCUGCACUUCGGGAUAAGCUUGGGAAACUGGGUCUAAUACCGGAUAGGAGCCAUCUUUAGUGUGGUGGUUGGAAAGUUUUUCGGUGUAGGAUGAGCUCGCGGCCUAUCAGCUUGUUGGUGGGGUGAUGGCCUACCAAGGCGACGACGGGUAGCCGGCCUGAGAGGGUGAUCGGCCACAUUGGGACUGAGAUACGGCCCAG
rnacentral:rRNA from 1 species